AAUUUCAAAAUAUCAGUCAGUAAACCAUCAAUAUCAUUUCUGGAUUCGAGCUUUAGGGUUCGACUGGUUGAAUCCAGGUCGUGGCAGUAAUUUGACGUUUUACAUACGAUGAAGGGAAUAACCUCCGCGAUUCCUGCUUUGAUUCUACCGUUCCCUGGUAUUCUCUUCCAUUUUCCUUUUCUAAACUGCCCAUUACGUGUUUCCUUUCAAGUUUUUCCACAGCUUCUGUUGAAAAUGUGAAUAUGGGUAUGUCUAAACCCACCCAUCUGGAGACAUUGGUCAUAGAUAAGUGUAAAUCGAGAUCCUUUGAGCUUGAUGAAGCUCUGGGGUUUUUUUCAAUUUCAUGAUUUUAAUGAGAAACUUGCCCUCAAUUAGGAACUGAUUUUAGGGAGCAUGAUUUAGUUAUGUUUUUUAUUUUAUUUUCAUGAAUUUUCAAUAAAAAUAUAACCUUUUUUUCGUUUCCAUGACAUUGAAUUUCGAUAUACGGGGGAACUGUAAAUUCUAAAACACAGUGGUAGAAUGUUGGAUUUCCAAAAGAAGGGAAUUCUUUUUCUUUUUUUUUUCUGGGUUUGACAAACAUGGAUCUAGUAGGACUGGAAGUCAAAGUGUCAAACAAACGGUAUGCUUUAUCAAAUGGAAUUCCAUGAGAGCCUAAGCCUGGUCUUAGCUGAUUUAUUUAAGAAUUUGUCUUUGAUUUGAUCUUAUUCGAAUGCCACCCAUGCUAAAAUUAGCUCUACGGUUUAAAAUGGGACUAAAAAUUCGAACGAGAGCUGAUAAAGAGAAGAGAAAAGGGGGAAUUUAUAGGCCGUUGGAACUUUGGAUUAUGAGUCCUUAACGUAUGAACUAGUUCGACAGAUUUAACUAUUGGUUCUCUUACCGGUCAGUAGCUGUUUUGGGUCCAUAAUGAAGAAUUUUGUAGAUAUUUCACCAUUUGUUCCAGGAAAAAAAGUAGGAAAGAACAAUGAAGCUUCGUGCUCUUCCUUUUCUGGCAAUCAGAUAAGAGAUGUGGGUGGUUUCUGUUAAUUUUUGAUAAAGUGUUUGAUUUGGAAAUGUAAUACAAUGAUAGAUUCUGUACAUUUAGCAUUGGCUUUGUAGAGCAGUGCUAGGCAUCCUUUUCCUGCUCACUAUACAGAGAACAUAUAAAUACAAAGAAGAUAUUGAAGUGGAGGAAAGUAAGUGUGGGUUACCUUUUAUCGCAUUUCUUGUAUGUUGAGAAACUCAAAGAAUAAAUAAAGGAAAUAACACUUUAAUCAUCUAUUAUUAGUUCCAAAUUCGAAGCCUGCCUAUACCAUGCAUGGAUUCACCAAAAAAGAGUGAGUCAGUUUGUGUGGUUAAUUCUUAUAUAUAAUUUUUGAGUUCAUGGUAUUUGUGUAGUUGAGGAUCCCAUCAACUGAUCAGCUUUAAAUUUUUAUGCUCUCAACUAGUUGUCAACACCUAAUGAGAAAUCUCAGUUUGACAUAGCCUUUUCUGUCUCCGAUGUCAAGGAUAAGUAUAAGGAUGCUGCUUUAGAACCAAAAUGGAAGGCAUUCCAGACAGUUAUAUUUCUUGAGCGGAUUCUUCUUUCAUGGUUGUAUAUUCUGAAGUUUAAUAAUUGCUGCUUUUGAUUUUGAUGGUUGUCUGGCUAACACGUCUGUUAAAAGAGUUGGUGCAGAUACUUGGUCCCUUAUGUAUCCUUCAAUACCAGAGAAGCUGCAAAGUCUUUAUGAAGAGGGCUUUAAGCUGGUAAUCUUUACAAACGAAUCCAAUGUGCUGCUUAAAGUUUCCAGCUAAAAAGCAAUUAUGGGAUUGAUGGGGACAGUCCAGGCUUUGAGGUCUCCUGGGAUCUUUGAAUACAUUAAGUAAAACAACUUGUUAGGUUUUUAUAGCUUGCGGAAUAGGCAGUUCUGGUGGUAAAGCAGAUGAUCUUUCCGCAAACCAAAUACUGGGAUGUGGCACAUCAUGGAGAAAAAUUUCAAUUCUGGCAUUCCAAUUGAUAUGGAUCAGUUAUUUUUCUGUCUUCAUUAUAUUGUUUCACUAUU